UAUAUGGUGCCAGUUUUCAUCAUCGUGAUCGGCUCGUACUUCAUUGCCUCCGUUUUCUUCAACGUGUACGCCAUGGCAGUGGACACUCUCUUCCUCUGCUUCCUUGAGGAUAAUGAGCGAAACGACGGAUCUGCCGAGAAGCCAUACUUCAUGCCGGCAAAAAGCUCUCGAGAAUUCUUAGCAAGAAAAACAAACUUGAGUAGGAGGACCAAAUAUCUAUAGCGUGCCAAUGUUUUUGUAUUUUUCUAUGGUUCAUUUGUCUUGCAGCCGAGUUCCUCUUUUAUACAGAUUUUAAAGUAAAUUAUUUUCCCCACUAAUAUUGAAAACACGACUCAAUGUUCUAUGUACUGAUAUGUAUUUAAAAAAAACUCAAAUUUAAAUACACCUACAAAUAAGAUUUCUAUUUUGUAGACGUAGAUAAUGGAUAAUCAUCAAAGAGGGUGUGAUCUCAGUUUUGUAACUUGAUUGUGUAUUUAUCAAAAGGCCAACUACCCAGCCGUAUUCAAUUAAAAUCAAAAUCAUUUAAA